rnacentral:rRNA from 1 species
UGCGCAGGUGGGCUUGUAAGUCAGUGGUGAAAUACUGCCGCUUAACGGUAGAACUGCCAUUGAUACUGCAAGUCUUGAAUAUGGUUGAGGUAGGCGGAAUGUGUCGUGUAGCGGUGAAAUGCAUAGAUAUGACACAGAACGCCGAUUGCGAAGGCAGCUUACUAAGCCAUUAUUGACGCUGAGGCACGAAAGCGUGGGGAGCGAACAGGAUUAGAUACCCUGGUAGUCC